rnacentral:rRNA from 1 species
AAAUUGAAGAGUUUGAUCAUGGCUCAGAUUGAACGCUGGCGGCAGGCCUAACACAUGCAAGUCGAACGGUAACAGGAAGCAGCUUGCUGCUUUGCUGACGAGUGGCGGACGGGUGAGUAAUGUCUGGGAAACUGCCUGAUGGAGGGGGAUAACUACUGGAAACGGUGGCUAAUACCGCAUAACGUCGCAAGACCAAAGAGGGGGACCUUCGGGCCUCUUGCCAUCAGAUGUGCCCAGAUGGGAUUAGCUGGUUGGUGAGGUAACGGCUCACCAAGGCGACGAUCCCUAGCUGGUCUGAGAGGAUGACCAGCCACACUGGAACUGAGACACGGUCCAGACUCCUACGGGAGGCAGCAGUGGGGAAUAUUGCACAAUGGGCGCAAGCCUGAUGCAGCCAUGCCGCGUGUAUGAAGAAGGCCUUCGGGUUGUAAAGUACUUUCAGCGGGGAGGAAGGUGUUGUGGUUAAUAACCGCAGCAAUUGACGUUACCCGCAGAAGAAGCACCGGCUAACUCCGUGCCAGCAGCCGCGGUAAUACGGAGGGUGCAAGCGUUAAUCGGAAUUACUGGGCGUAAAGCGCACGCAGGCGGUCUGUCAAGUCGGAUGUGAAAUCCCCGGGCUCAACCUGGGAACUGCAUUCGAAACUGGCAGGCUUGAGUCUUGUAGAGGGGGGUAGAAUUCCAGGUGUAGCGGUGAAAUGCGUAGAGAUCUGGAGGAAUACCGGUGGCGAAGGCGGCCCCCUGGACAAAGACUGACGCUCAGGUGCGAAAGCGUGGGGAGCAAACAGGAUUAGAUACCCUGGUAGUCCACGCCGUAAACGAUGUCUACUUGGAGGUUGUGCCCUUGAGGCGUGGCUUCCGGAGCUAACGCGUUAAGUAGACCGCCUGGGGAGUACGGCCGCAAGGUUAAAACUCAAAUGAAUUGACGGGGGCCCGCACAAGCGGUGGAGCAUGUGGUUUAAUUCGAUGCAACGCGAAGAACCUUACCUGGUCUUGACAUCCACAGAACUUUCCAGAGAUGGAUUGGUGCCUUCGGGAACUGUGAGACAGGUGCUGCAUGGCUGUCGUCAGCUCGUGUUGUGAAAUGUUGGGUUAAGUCCCGCAACGAGCGCAACCCUUAUCCUUUGUUGCCAGCGGUCCGGCCGGGAACUCAAAGGAGACUGCCAGUGAUAAACUGGAGGAAGGUGGGGAUGACGUCAAGUCAUCAUGGCCCUUACGACCAGGGCUACACACGUGCUACAAUGGCGCAUACAAAGAGAAGCGACCUCGCGAGAGCAAGCGGACCUCAUAAAGUGCGUCGUAGUCCGGAUUGGAGUCUGCAACUCGACUCCAUGAAGUCGGAAUCGCUAGUAAUCGUGGAUCAGAAUGCCACGGUGAAUACGUUCCCGGGCCUUGUACACACCGCCCGUCACACCAUGGGAGUGGGUUGCAAAAGAAGUAGGUAGCUUAACCUUCGGGAGGGCGCUUACCACUUUGUGAUUCAUGACUGGGGUGAAGUCGUAACAAGGUAACCGUAGGGGAACCUGCGGUUGGAUCACCUCCUUA